rnacentral:rRNA from 1 species
CACUCCUGCGGGAGGCGGCAGUGGGGAAUAUUGCACAAUGGGCGCAAGCCUGAUGCAGCCAUGCCGCGUGUAUGAAGAAGGCCUUCGGGUUGUAAAGUACUUUCAGCGGGGAGGAAGGCAAUACGGUUAAUAACCGUGUUGAUUGACGUUACCCGCAGAAGAAGCACCGGCUAACUCCGUGCCAGCAGCCGCGGUAAUACGGAGGGUGCAAGCGUUAAUCGGAAUUACUGGGCGUAAAGCGCACGCAGGCGGUCUGUCAAGUCGGAUGUGAAAUCCCCGGGCUCAACCUGGGAACUGCAUUCGAAACUGGCAGGCUUGAGUCUUGUAGAGGGGGGUAGAAUGCCAGGUGUAGCGGUGAAAUGCGUAGAGAUCUGGAGGAAUACCGGUGGCGAAGGCGGCCCCCUGGACAAAGACUGACGCUCAGGUGCGAAAGCGUGGGGAGCAAACAGGAUUAGAAACCCUUGUAGUCCC